UACGUAGGGUCCGAGCGUUGUCCGGAAUUACUGGGCGUAAAGGGCUCGUAGGCGGCCAACUAAGUCAGACGUGAAAUCCCUCGGCUUAACCGGGGAACUGCGUCUGAUACUGGAUGGCUUGAGUUCGGGAGAGGGAUGCGGAAUUCCAGGUGUAGCGGUGAAAUGCGUAGAUAUCUGGAGGAACACCGGUGGCGAAGGCGGCAUCCUGGACCGACACUGACGCUGAGGAGCGAAAGCCAGGGGAGCAAACGGG
rnacentral:rRNA from 1 species